rnacentral:rRNA from 1 species
UACGGAGGGAGCUAGCGUUGUUCGGAAUUACUGGGCGUAAAGCGCACGUAGGCGGCUUUGUAAGUCAGAGGUGAAAGCCUGGAGCUCAACUCCAGAACUGCCUUUGAGACUGCAUCGCUUGAAUCCGGGAGAGGUGAGUGGAAUUCCGAGUGUAGAGGUGAAAUUCGUAGAUAUUCGGAAGAACACCAGUGGCGAAGGCGGGCUCACUGGACCGGUAGUUGACGCUGAGGUGCGAAAGCGUGGGGAGCAAACAGG